AACGAACGCUGGCGGCAGGCCUAACACAUGCAAGUCGAGCGAGGACUCCGGUUCUAGCUGCGGACGGGGGAGUAACGCGUGGGAAUUUGCCCUUCUCUACGGAAUCCCCCUGGGAAACUGGGAGUAAUACCGCAUACGCCCAAUUGGGGAAAGACUUCUCGGAGAAGGGUCAGCCCGCGUUAGAUUAGGUAGUUGGUGGGGUAAUGGCCUGCCAAGCCGACGUUCCAUAGCUGGUUUGAGAGGAUGAUCAGCCACACUGGGACUGAGACACGGCCCAGACUCCGACGGGAGGCAGCAGUGGGGAAUCUUAGACAAUGGGGGCAACCCUGAUCUAGCCAUGCCGCGUGAGUGAUGAAGGCCUUAGGGUUGUAAAGCUCUUUCAGCUGGGAAGAUAAUGACGGUACCAGCAGAAGAAGCCCCGGCUAACUCCGUG
rnacentral:rRNA from 1 species